UCAGAACUUUUCUUCCUCAUAGGACCUACAUACUAAAAACCCUAGGAUGCCCCUACACACAGCCAUCGCCCUUAGCCCAAACCCGUCGGAAAUUCGGCAACACCCAAAAAAAUGAGAACCAGCAGCAGUAGCCAUCUUCAUCAGGGGAAGACUACCACAGAAAACCUUAGCGAACCCAACCGCCUCCUCGACGCCCAAAACUUUCCAGAAAUUCUUCAACUUCAGCCGUCUCUAACAUCCCUUCACACUAUCUCACUCGCCGUCCACCACUCCAAAACCAACAACUCGCCGCCACCAACCACCUCUCUACCAACUUAUCUCCGCAAAAAACUUGUUGGAGGCAGUGGCGACACACAAGCAGAAGAAGAAGACAGUACAGCCGCUGCCUAAACCAUGCCUAUCUCCAUACCGCCGACCACCCCAGAAGAACCGCCGCCCCACCCUUCUUCUUCUUUUUCUUCUUCUUCAAGCUUCGGGUUUGAACUAAACGAAUAAGUCUUUGAAGUCUUGAACUAAAAAUGAACCUGCAGCAGGUGGGGAAAUAAGGGAUCGAUAAAACAAAAAAUACAUUGUAGUUGCAAGCUCAUAUUUUGGUUUACUUGAAAUUACAUAAUAUAUAUAUAAAAGAUCUUCUAUUUAUUCAUUUUUUAUUUUAGUUUUGGUAUUAAAAUCACAAUAUUCUCUUGAUGUUCGGAAGUUUGUUAAAUUGGGUUCCCAGUUCGAGGUUUGUCGUGAUCAUGUUUUUG
rnacentral:lncRNA from 1 species